UGGUCGGUUCGAGUAUGUGGUUUUUCGGAACAGAAUCUAGUUCCUUCGAUAUCAAUGUAAUCUAGUAAUAAUGUAGUAAUUGAUAUCGAAGGAACUAGAUUCUGUUCCGAAAUAUCACAUACUCGAAC
rnacentral:miRNA from 1 species